rnacentral:tRNA from 1 species
GGUCAGGUAGCUCAGUUGGUAGAGCAAUGGACUGAAAAUCCAUGUGUCGGCGGUUCAAUUCCGUCCCUGACCACCA